CGUAGGCAGCGAGCGUUGUUCGGAGUUACUGGGCGUAAAGGGUGUGUAGGCGGUUCUCUAAGUUUGGUGUGAAAUCUCCCGGCUCAACCGGGAGGGUGCGCCGAAAACUGGAGGGCUAGAGUGCGGGAAGGGGGAGUAGAAUUCCUGGUGUAGCGGUGAAAUGCGUAGAUAUCAGGAGGAAUACCGGUGGUGUAGACGGCUCUCUGGACCGCGACUGACGCUGAGACACGAAAGCGUGGGUAGCAAACAGGAUUAGAUACCCUGGUAGUCCACGCCCUAAACGAUGCAUAUUUGGUGUAGGUCGUUCAGUUGAUCUGUGCCGGAGCUAACGCGUUAAAUAUGCCGCCUGGGGAGUACAGUCGCAAGGCUG
rnacentral:rRNA from 1 species